CGCCUGGGGAGUACGGCCGCAAGGUUAAAACUCAAAUGAAUUGACGGGGGCCCGCACAAGCGGUGGAGCAUGUGGUUUAAUUCGAUGCAACGCGAAGAACCUUACCUGGUCUUGACAUCCACAGAACUUUCCAGAGAUGGAUUGGUGCCUUCGGGAACUGUGAGACAGGUGCUGCAUGGCUGUCGUCAGCUCGUGUUGUGAAAUGUUGGGUUAAGUCCCGCAACGAGCGCAACCCUUAUCCUUUGUUGCCAGCGGU
rnacentral:rRNA from 1 species